rnacentral:rRNA from 1 species
GACCGAGGAGGCAAGCGUUGUCCGGAUUGACUGGGCGUAAAGCGUCCGCAGGUGGUCGCGCAAGUGCGCUGUGAAAGCGGCCCGCUCAACGGGCGGAGGCCCGCGCAGACUGCGCAACUCGAGGUCGGGAGAGGUCGGUGGAAUUGCCGGUGUAGUGGUGAAAUGCGUAGAGAUCGGCAGGAACACCCAAGGGGAAGCCAGCCGACUGGCCCGCACCUGACACUCAGGGACGACAGCGUGGGGAGCGAACCGG